CCCGGGGGAUGUUGGGGGCUGCGUGUGCCCGGGAGCUGCGUCGGCUGUGCGGGAGCUGCAGGAACUAGUAAAUUCAGCUAAUAAGCCCUGUUGAGAUCCAGCAGACUCUUCACAGGCACUUUAAUCCGCGUUUGAACUCCACAAAGUGCCUCAGCUCAUUUUGCAUCCACAGUAGCGUUAUGGUCUAGUGGUCUAGAUCCCUGGGAGCUCAGCCUGCUUUGGCUCAGUCAGUGGAACAUGAAGAGCCCAAGUGCACAUUUUCAGAAGCGC
rnacentral:lncRNA from 1 species